AGUGGAGAUGACCUGGGGAGGCUAAUGGAGCUGAUCUUUGUGGUGCUGUAAGAAUGACCUCUGGCUCAUCAUCGAUCUCUAGUGCUCAUUGUUGGACCUCGGGGUCAGUGUUGACUCAAGUGGAGGAAUAGCCACCUACUACUUCCUCUUUGACAUCAAUGCUUUACCAUCAGAAGAGCCCAACCUCUUCUUUAGGGCAAAGCAUAGCUACUCCAAGGUCUACCUCAUCAUUGCAACAGCAAAUAAGAAGUUAGUAUUUAGCCAAAUGUGAAAGCAAAAUUAAAAUAAAAAGCUCUAGUCUUGGAGAUCAGUCGUACUGUGGGAUUGACUGAGCUGACGCUAACAUUGUACAAAGCCUGCUCAGAUAGAAACUCUUUCAAUGGAUGAAUCUCCAUAUGCUGUAAUUUGUGGAAAUGCUCCUUGUCCUCUUGGAGUGGCUCAACAUAUUUAUCUAGAAGGUCUGUGGGUGCCUCCGUAUCUAAUUAAAGCCCCAUGGG
rnacentral:lncRNA from 1 species